GCCAUCACAUUCUUUGCUCCCUCCUUUAAUCCCACGAUUUCCGAGAGGCCAUCUUCUUCUUCUCCUGUGUUGCCUCCAUCUGCUCCCCGCUAGACCCGUUUAUUGGACGGGCUGCGAUGGAUUCGGACCGGGCUCUACUUAAAGAAAGAUUGUGAUUUUCAGGCCCCAGCCCGAGCUUGACCUAGUCUUUGUGCCUCCUUUUCAAAUUUGAGUCCGCUAUAUGUUAGGAUUUGAUGCAUUGAGAUUCAAACUACAUUGAGCCCACAGCGAGGUUUGCGACGAAAAACAGAGUCCAACGAGAUCAAAAUCAUCCCAAACAAAGUUCGGACGGAGAAGAUACGAGCAAUCGAAGCAGUAGCAUGAUGCACAAGGCGGCGGCGGCCGGCGGCGACCAGCGGAGUGCCAUCCGGCCCGACGAAGA
rnacentral:lncRNA from 1 species